GUUUUAAUAUUUUAAUUAAAAAUGUUGACUUUGUAAUUCAAUGAUGUGAUUGCACUUAAAACU
rnacentral:tRNA from 1 species